UACAGAGGGGGCAAGCGUUAUUCGGAAUUAUUGGGCGUAAAGGGCGCGUAGGCGGCUUGGCAAGUGGAUGGUGAAAUCCCUCGGCUUAACCGAGGAACGGCCGUCCAAACUGCUUCGCUUGAGACCGGGAGAGGUGAGUGGAAUUCCCAGUGUAGCGGUGAAAUGCGUAGAUAUUGGGAGGAACACCAGUGGCGAAGGCGACUACCUGGCCUGUUCUUGACGCUGAGGCGCGAAAGCUAGGGGAGCAAACGGG
rnacentral:rRNA from 1 species